rnacentral:rRNA from 1 species
UUUAACACAUGCAGUCGAACGGAAACGAAAAUAGCUUGCUAUUUGGCGUCGAGUGGCGAACGGGUGAGUAACGCGUAGGAAUCUACCCAGUAGAGGGGGAUAGCCCGAAGAAAUUCGGAUUAAUACCGCAUAAUCUCUACGGAGUAAAGAAGGCCUCUUUACAAUGCUUUUACUAUUGGAUGAGCCUGCGUUAGAUUAGUUAGUUGGUAGGGUAAAAGCCUACCAAGGCGACGAUCUAUAGCUGGUUUUACGAGAAUGAUCAGCCACACUGGAACUGAGACACGGUCCAGACUCCUACGGGAGGCAGCAGUGAAGAAUAUUGGACAAUGGGGGAAACCCUGAUCCAGCAAUGUUGCGUGUGUGAAGAAGGUCCGAGGAUUGUAAAGCACUUUCAGUAAGCAAGAAAAAUGUAAAUCUAAUAGAUUUGCAUGUUGACCACUUAUAGAAGAAGCACCGGCUAACUCCGUGCCAGCAGCCGCGGUAAUACGGAGGGUGCGAGCGUUAAUCGGAAUUACUGGGCGUAAAGGGUAAGUAGGCGGUUUAUAAAGUCACAUGUGAAAGCCCUAGGCUUAAC